CUUAAGCAAAUUUUAAUAAUAUGUAUAUCGCAUUGAUAUUAAAAUUUUUUAUAAGGUAUAUCCGAUAGAUACUAUUCGUUUAGGUUAUGAUUACUUUUUUCAUAUUUCACCAUGUCUUUGCUUUUAUUUGUUUUACAGGUAAUUCUGUUUUGUAGUGUUUUUGUUUGCUUUUCAUAUUCUUCAUCUCUCUUUUCCCUCGCUUUUAUUUAUCAGGCAACUCAUAUUUCUCUAUUCUCUUUUCAAUUGCGAUUUGUGUGUUUUGAUUUUUUUAUAUUGUAUUAUGCAUAUGUGUUAUGAUAUUACCGAGUAGUUAUAGCUUUUUGUGCGGUUAUAUUUUUUUUCUUUUGUUUUGCUUGGUAGUGUUGCCGUAUUCUCAAUAUAUUUCGGAUUUAAUUAAAAUAUUCAAAUAGUGCAAUAGCAGAAUUUCCUUCGAUAUGGACAAAUUUACAUCUUAAGUUAUUCUAUUUGCAAUUGUGCAUUUAAAAAGUUAAAAACAUUAAUCUUAGAUGAUGUAUAAAGCUGUUGCGAAAUAUUGAGUUUAGAUUGCAGUAUGUGCAUCACUGUAAACAGGUUCAAUUUCAAUGAGUGUGUACGCCGCAAAUGAAAGUUUCUAAGUUUGUUCACUAAUAAUCCCGGUUAUUGAAUCGGUACUGCGGAAGAAUUCCAAGGACAAGAACGCGACAUAAUAUUGAUCUCAACAAUGCAGAUCAAGCAAGGAGGUUAUACCUAACGAUUUGCGCCAUGCAUUAGGUUUCAUCGAAAACGAGAAACGGGUUAACGCAGCGAUAACUCGACCUCGUUACCUUCUAUAUAUAUACGGCAACCCCGAUCUAAUCCUUUUGGAUCCUCAUUGGCGCAUGUUUAUCAAGUACUGCGUCGACAACGAUGCCUACCUUGGUUAUGAUUUGCCGGAAAUUGUCUGACUUGAAUUACCUUUAAUGAUUUAUUUUCUUUAAGAACUUCCAAUUAUCAAUACUGUUAUUAUU